rnacentral:rRNA from 1 species
UACGAAGGGGGCGAGCGUUGUUCGGAAUUACUGGGCGUAAAGGGCGCGCAGGCGGCCUUAGAAGUCAGAUGUGAAAGCCCCGGGCUCAACCUGGGAAUGGCAUUUGAUACUCUGAGGCUGGAGUACGGGAGAGGAGAGUGGAAUUCCCAGUGUAGAGGUGAAAUGCGUAGAUAUUGGGAGGAACACCAGUGGCGAAGGCGGCUCACUGGGACGGUACUGACGCUGAGACGCGAAAGCGUGGGGAGCGAACAGG